CUGGCAUCACUGGCAGGGAGAGGGGUGGCUGGGCCAGAAGCCACCUCAUCCCCAGUGCUCAGAGAACUGGGUCCUCAGAGGUGGUCCCGCCCCCACUUUACACAUAAGGAAACAGACGCAAGGAGGAGAGGGAUGCCCAAUGACGGGCACUUCGAUGAGUCCGUGUGAAUGCUGCUGCGCACUUAGGGAAUGAUUGUGAGAAGGGGGUGGAGGCUGGAGCGGGCAGCAAAGAACUGACAUUUUGAGGUCAGUUUUUCACUCCUUCAUCAAGGGUAGGCUCUCUCCCUGGUCAUUACCAGGAGCCUGGCUCUGGGCAGCAAAGAACUGACAUUUCAAGGAGCUCUGCUGAGGGCCAGGCAGGCAGUAUGUGAGGGAGUUCACAGACACCGUCCCAUUUUCACAGCUUUCUGAGGUCGAUAACAUAACCCCCACUUCACAGAUGAGGAACUCCAGCCCAGAAAGGCUGUCAGCCCUGGGAAAGGAAGGGCAGGGCAUCGGGCUGGGCAGCUGGCCUGGAACCGGUGUGAUAGUGUUCACUCUGCUUCCCGCGGGUGGGGUGCCAGUGGGGAGGGGUCUCACCAGAGAGGGAGCCGGGGGAGCACGCUCCUGCCUCCAUCCUCAGACCAGUGUGUCCCUCCCAACCUCUGACCCCUCUGAGGCCAGGGGAUGGGUUCGGCUUCCUUUGGUACCUCUUUUGGAAGUCUCUUCAGACAAACACUGGAGAGAAGGCACAGCACCCUAGGGUGACAUCAGUGGACAGGUCAGAUUCCUGUUCCUGUUCCCAGCCACCCCCGUCUGUCUGCCCAGGGACCUACCUGCCUGGCCCACUCCUGCCGCCACCCCUCUCCAUGAGUGGGACUCCUGAGCAGUGCCAGGCCCAGGCCCUCAGGGUGGCAGUUGCUGGAUGGGGCCGGGCUUCCCAUUCCCUGGCAGGCAGACUCUUGGCUCUGGAAGAUCCCUGGGGGACUCUGACUUCUUGGUUACUCAGGCUACUCCGUAAGGGUAGCCUUACGAGAGCAUAAGGGCAUGAGAGGAAGUCGAUGGGUAGACCAGGUGUCUCUGGUUCCUCUGAGGAAAUGCAGCUUCUUUGCCAAGAACUCAUGGGCUUUGGUGGCUUCAUCGCCCUUGCCUGGGGUGGGCGAGUUUUAGUCUCUUCAGCUGCGGACCAGAAGCUGAGCUGACCUGAAAAGAGCUGGAGUUCUGGAGUUCGGGCUUCCAGGCCAGGGCCCGUUUCUGGGUGAGAGUGGGAGGCAAUGGUUGCUUGAGGCAGAGGCAGUAAACCCUUACACCCGCAGCUGGACAAACGCACCAGCUGGCUGUAUUCUGUGGGGGCAAUGUGGCUUCUGGAAGGUCUCUCCAGUGGCCCUGUAGCUGGUCUUGGCAAAGAAUGUUCUAGACCAAGCGUUGUCAAACUACAGCUCAUGGGCCAAAUCCAGCCUGCUGUCUGCUUUUGUAAAUAAAGUUUUAUUGGAACAAAGCCAUGUUCGUUUGUUACAUAUUGUCUAUGGCUGCUUUCACACUGCAACAGCAGAGACCAUGUAGCCUGCAAAGCCUAAAAUAUGUUCUGUCUUAUCCUUUACAAAAACAGUUUACUGACUCCUGCUCUAGACCUCCAAAGACCUGGUAUCCUGUUUCCUGGUGUUCAAGUUCAGAGAGGUUUCUGGAGUAGGGGCUGAGCCUGGCCUGGAUGGGCAGUGCUGUGACAAGUGUCUAGGAUGGCCGGGUACCCUGCACAGAGCUAGAAGGCUGCCUGGCACGGGUGAAAGCAGAGCUGCUCCCUGACCCUCUGCCUCUCCCUCCUCCAUCCUGGCCUGCUUUAGCUUUCCCCAAACAUGGCCAACAAGGGUCCCUCCUAUGGCAUGAGUCGCGAAGUGCAGUCCAAAAUCGAGAAGAAGUAUGAUGAGGAGCUGGAGGAGCGGCUGGUGGAGUGGAUCAUAGUGCAGUGUGGCCCUGAUGUGGGCCGCCCAGACCGUGGGCGCUUGGGCUUCCAGGUCUGGCUGAAGAAUGGCGUGGUGAGUGGCACCCUGGGCUGGGGGGCUGGGGUGUGCCACCCUGUGAGUCCUGGGCCAAUCCCUGAGCUGACUGCUAAGCUGCGUCCUAUGCCCUAUGCCUGGUAGAUUCUGAGCAAGCUGGUGAACAGCCUGUACCCUGAUGGCUCCAAGCCGGUGAAGGUGCCCGAGAACCCGCCCUCCAUGGUCUUCAAGCAGAUGGAGCAGGUGGCUCAGUUCCUGAAGGCGGCUGAGGACUAUGGGGUCAUCAAGACUGACAUGUUCCAGACUGUUGACCUCUUUGAAGGCAAAGACAUGGCAGCAGUGCAGAGGACCCUGAUGGCUUUGGGCAGCUUGGCAGUGACCAAGAAUGAUGGGCACUACCGUGGAGAUCCCAACUGGUUUAUGAAGUAUGUGGUCCCCAGGGAGCUUGGGUCUCCGCAUGGGGUUGGAGGUGGCUUGUGCUAAGGAGCUUGCAGGAAGGAUUAGGGGAAGCAGAUAGCCAAGAAGGGAUAAAGUGAGGGUCUGGGAUGGGGAAUAAUGGGUCCUUAAUACUCCUUGACCCCUCCCUUUCCACCCUCCUGCGCUCAGUCUCCCUAGCCUAUGAGGCAAGCUAGAUUAGGGAAAAAAAGUGAAACAGGAAGGCAAUGGGACUGGGCUAGGACGUAACAGAGGGAUCAGAAAACGGGUGGAAAACACACAGUUCUACCAAGUCUUUAUUCCUGGUUCCUCCUCUUCUAGGAAAGCGCAGGAGCAUAAGAGGGAAUUCACAGAGAGCCAGCUGCAGGAGGGAAAGCAUGUCAUUGGCCUUCAGAUGGGCAGCAACAGAGGGGCCUCCCAGGCCGGCAUGACAGGCUACGGACGACCUCGGCAGAUCAUCAGUUAGAGCGGAGAGGGCUAGCCCUGAGCCCUGCCCUCCCCCAGCUCCUUGGCUGCAGCCAUCCCGCUUAGCCUGCCUCACCCACACCCGUGUGGUACCUUCAGCCCUGGCCAAGCUUUGAGGCUCUGUCACUGAGCAAUGGUAACUGCACAUGGGCAGCUCCUCCCUGUACCCCCAGCCUCAGCCCAACUUCGUACCCGAAAGCAUCACUGCCUUGGCCCCUCCCUCCUGGCUGCCCCCGUCACCUCUACUGUCUCCUCCCCGGGCUAAGCAGGGGAGAAGCAGGCUGGGGGUAGCCUGGAUGUGGGCCAAGUCCACUGUCCUCCUUGGUGGCAAAAGCCCAUUGAAGAAGAACCAGCCCAGCCUGCCCCCUAUCUUGUCCUGGAAUAUUUUUGGGGUUGGAACUC
rnacentral:sRNA from 1 species